rnacentral:rRNA from 1 species
AGCGAACGCUGGCGGCGUGCUUAACACAUGCAAGUCGAGUGCGCGUUUCUGUAGCAAUACAGGAAUGGCGCACGGCGCACGGGUGCGUAACACGUGGGUAAUCUGCCCUCUGAUGGGGAAUAACCCGCCGAAAGGCGGGCUAAUUCCGCAUAACAUUCCGGGGACCUCGGUCUCUGGAUUCAAAGGCGUAAGUCGUCGGAGGAGGAGCCCGCGCACGAUUAGCUAGUUGGAGGGUAACGGCCUACCAAGGCUAUGAUCGUUAGCUGGUCUGAGAGGAUGGCCAGCCACACUGGAACUGAGACACGGUCCAGACUCCUACGGGAGGCAGCAGUGGGGAAUCUUGCGCAAUGGGCGAAAGCCUGACGCAGCGACGCCGCGUGGGGGAUGAAGCUUUCGGAGUGUAAACCCCUUUCGACCCGACGAAUGCCCCGCAAGGGGAUUGACGGUACGGGUAUAAGAAGCCCGGCUAACUACGUGCCAGCCGCCGCUGUAAC